rnacentral:misc_RNA from 1 species
AAGUCGUAACAAGGUUUCCGUAGGUGAACCUGCGGAAGGAUCAUUAAUGAAAUUUAUGACUGGAGCUGUAGCUGGCCCUUAAAAACGGCAUAUGCACGCUCCUUUCACUAAUCCACACACACCUGUGCACCUUCGCGGGGGUCUUCUUUUCGGAGAAGGCUCGCGUCCCUUUACACACCCUUUGUAUGUCUUAAGAAUGUCUACUCGAUGUAAUAAAACGCAUCUAAUACAACUUUCAACAACGGAUCUCUUGGCUCUC